AGGCUCAGCGCGUGUCCCGUCAGACCCACACUCCGCUCCGUGGACGGCCCCUCCUGUGUUCGUGGUCCACGCUACAGCCGCCGGGAGGAGCGGGUUGACGCUAAUGAGGACGAAACCAAGGCGGUUGGACAUGUCUUCCUUAUGUGCACUUGCCAAUUUUUGAGACGGACUUUGGAGCUUAUCCAUCCAGCUGUGAAAAUAGGCUCAGAGGCGCGGAGCGUCUUUCGCAAGCGAGCGCCCAGAGACUGGCGCCUGGGCCAUGGAGGGGAUGAAUUCCUGUGGGACGGAGAGUGUCGCUGAGGACAGAGCUGCCAGGAUGGGGGCAUUCACCAUUGUGGUGAAACCAUCAGGAGGACGGGCAAGGGGGUGUGGCUUGGUUGCUGCAUACCAGCCUGGCAGGGGGAGGAGUGAGGGUCGGCCUCCUCCCAGACCUGCUGAGCAAACACUGCCAUAAUCCAGACCAGCUCCUAGGACAGUGAUGGUGAACCUUUUGAGCUCAGCGUGUCAGCGUUUUGAAAAACCCUAACUUAA